rnacentral:misc_RNA from 1 species
ACCUGUUAUCUACAUCAAUGGAAAACCAUUUGUACUCCGCGAAGUUGAAAGGCCCUAUAAAAAUAUGCUUGAAUACACGGGGAUUGAUCGUGAACGAGUGGAAAAAAUGGAAGCUAGAUUAAAGGAUGACAUUAUGCGAGAAGCUGAGCGUUAUCAAGGAGCAAUAAUGGUUAUUCAUGAAACUGAUGACGGUCAAAUAUUUGAUGCUUGGGAACAUGUGAGCUCUGAUGCAGUUCAAACUCCUGUGGAGGUCUUUAAGUGCUUGGAGGCUGAUGGUUUUCCUAUAAAGUAUGCUCGUG